GUGGACAAUGCCAUACAGUUUUGAUUAAAUAGUCAAUUAUCAAACAGGUCUGUAACACCCAAGACACUUAAUAGAGUAUGACCUUAUAUAUUAAGUGAGUGAGUGAGUGAGUGAGA